rnacentral:rRNA from 1 species
CCUACGGGCGGCUGCAGUGAGGAAUAUUGGUCAAUGGACGAGAGUCUGAACCAGCCAAGUAGCGUGAAGGAUGACUGCCCUAUGGGUUGUAAACUUCUUUUAUAAAGGAAUAAAACGAGGCACGUGUGCCCUUUUGCAUGUACUUUAUGAAUAAGGAUCGGCUAACUCCGUGCCAGCAGCCGCGGUAAUACGGAGGAUCCGAGCGUUAUCCGGAUUUAUUGGGUUUAAAGGGAGCGUAGAUGGGUUGUUAAGUCAGUUGUGAAAGUUUGCGGCUCAACCGUAAAAUUGCAAUUGAUACUGGCAGUCUUGAGUACAGUUGAGGUAGGCGGAAUUCGUGGUGUAGCGGUGAAAUGCUUAGAUAUCACGAAGAACCCCGAUUGCGAAGGCAGCUUACUAAACUGUGACUGACAUUGAUGCUCGAAAGUGUGGGUAUCAAACAGGAUUAGAUACCCUGGUAGUC